UUCUCUAUUUUCAUUCUAUUAUUUUUAUUAUGAAAAUGUUCAAUUUUCUCUUUAAAAUUAUUACAAAAUUAUGUAUUUUAUUAAAGAGAGAUGUUUAAAUUAAUAUUUAUAUGCAAAACAAGUGCAUGUUACAUUAUGAAUCGAUCUGGGAUGAAAUAAAAACAAAAGAUUCUUGGCGGGAUUUGCGAUGAUUUUGUGCAGUGUGUACCGACAAAAAAAGGUCAUCAAAUUCUGUAUAAAGGAUACACUUAUGUUUUUAAAAGCAGAUUGCUUUGUGGUGCAGAGCAAUGGUGUUGUUCGUUCCGUCAGAAAACAGGUUGUAUAUCUUUGAUUAAUAUGCAAGCAAAUGGUGUUGAAGUUGUGAGGGACUUCCACAAUCACAAGAAACCAAUGUUUAGUGACUGAUCUAUAUGUUAUUGAAUUCGGUGACACAUUUCAAACUAAUCUGUUGAAUGAAACAUUUCUGUAUAAAUUCAAAUAUAUUGUAGAGAUAUUUGUAAAUAAUUUUUUUUAGUGAUGUUAAAUAAUGUUUCAUUUAAAAGGUGAUAAUAUAUCCAAGAGCGAGAAGCGAGGUCAUGGUUGUACAUUUGUAUAAUUGUAAAAUAUAUUGAAAUAAAUGCAAUACAAUUUA